AGGCCAAAAAAAAAAACUCUGAAAAAUGUAGAGGAUUGAGUUUUAGUAUAUAUAUAAUAUGAAGCAUAAAGUAAACAGACAGUCCUAACAAAAAUUGAACUGUGCAUUAAUCAAGUUGACAUGUGGCUCAAUUAAAGCUUGAUCUCACCAUUUUCCAAUAUUAAUCUUUUUAGACAUGUAGUAAAUUGACUUAAUUUCACAUAAUCCAUUUAUUACAUGUUAUUUUAUUGAUAAAUUGAUAUCUCAAACACCAAUUUCUUGCUAAUUAUUUACAUUUUUCUUCAAUUUUAUUGAAAGUUUGCCUUCAUUUUGCACACGAUAUUAUGAAAAUAUUGAUAAAUUGGUGCAAAGUGUGGGAUCAUGUCUUGCAAGCUAAUUAAGGGUGAGCAUCAUGAUUAAUCAUCCUCAUAGGCCAUAAGGGAAGAGUUGUUCUUUUUCAUCAACUUAAACAAUCUAAAAUGAAGAUGCUUCCAACAUUAUGGUGGAUGAAAAAUUAUGUUAGGGUUUUACUUUGAUUUAUUGUAACUUUGGAUGAACAUUGUGUUGUCGGUAUCUGUGCAUGGAUAUAAUAUUGUAAAGGGGUAACUUUCCCUAGUAGCUUUUCUUGUUUAUUGUUGCUGAUGUAGAGAUUGUUAUGAAGAGAGAGAGAGAGAGAGA
rnacentral:misc_RNA from 1 species